UGGUGGGUAGUUUGACUGGGGCGGUCUCCUCCCAAAGCGUAACGGAGGAGCACGAAGGUUAGCUAAUCCUGGUCGGACAUCAGGAGGUUAGUGCAAUGGCAUAAGCUAGCUUGACUGCGAGCGUGACGGCGCGAGCAGGUGCGAAAGCAGGUCAUAGUGAUCCGGUGGUUCUGAAUGGAAGGGCCAUCGCUCAACGGAUAAAAGGUACUCCGGGGAUAACAGGCUGAUACCGCCCAAGAGUUCAUAUCGACGGCGGUGUUUGGCACCUCGAUGUCGGCUCAUCACAUCCUGGGGCUGAAGUAGGUCCCAAGGGUAUGGCUGUUCGCCAUUUAAAGUGGUACGCGAGCUGGGUUUAGAACGUCGUGAGACAGUUCGGUCCCUAUCUGCCGUGGGCGCUGGAGAAUUGAGGGGGGCUGCUCCUAGUACGAGAGGACCGGAGUGGACGCAUCACUGGUGUUCGGGUUGUCAUGCCAAUGGCACUGCCCGGUAGCUAAAUGCGGAAGAGAUAAGUGCUGAAAGCAUCUAAGCACGAAACUUGCCCCGAGAUGAGUUCUCCCUGAGACUUUAAGUCUCCUGAAGGAACGUUGAAGACGACGAC
rnacentral:rRNA from 1 species